rnacentral:rRNA from 1 species
GAUGAACGCUAGCGGCAGGCUUAACACAUGCAAGUCGAGGGGUAUUGGUUUUCGGACCAAGAGACCGGCGCACGGGUGCGUAACGCGUAUGCAAUCUACCUUUUGCAGAGGGAUAGCCCAGAGAAAUUUGGAUUAAUACCUCAUAGUAUAGUACUUUGGCAUCAAGGAACUAUUAAAGUCACAACGGCAAAGAUGAGCAUGCGUCCCAUUAGCUAGUUGGUAAGGUAACGGCUUACCAAGGCUACGAUGGGUAGGGGUCCUGAGAGGGAGAUCCCCCACACUGGUACUGAGACACGGACCAGACUCCUACGGGAGGCAGCAGUGAGGAAUAUGGACAAUGGGCGCAAGCCUGAUCCAGCCAUGCCGCGUGCAGGAUGACGUCCUAUGGAUUGUAAACUGCUUUAUACAGGAAGAAACACUCCGACGUGUCGGAGCUUGACGGUACUGUAAGAAU